rnacentral:rRNA from 1 species
GUGUUCCGGUUGUCACGCCAGUGGCAUUGCCGGGUAGCUAUGUUCGGAAAAGAUAACCGCUGAAAGCAUCUAAGCGGGAAACUUGCCUCAAGAUGAGAUCUCACUGGGAACUUGAUUCCCCUGAAGGGCCGUCGAAGACUACGA